rnacentral:rRNA from 1 species
AAUCAACGCUGGCGGCGUGCCUAAUACAUGCAAGUCGAACGGGGAAAGCUUUCGGGUGAGUACUAGUGGCGCACGGGUGAGGAACGCGUGGAUAAUCUGCCUUAGAGUGGGGGAUAACUGGUCGAAAGAUUAGCUAAUACCGCAUAAGACCACAGGAGCUGCGGCUCAAGGGGUCAAAGGUUUUUCGCUCUAAGAUGAGUCCGCGUAAGAUUAGCUAGUUGGUGAGGUAACGGCUCACCAAGGCGACGAUCUUUAACUGGUCUGAGAGGAUGAUCAGUCACACUGGAACUGAGACACGGUCCAGACUCCUACGGGGGGCAGCAGUAGGGAAUAUUGCACAAUGGAGGAAACUCUGAUGCAGCGACGCCGCGUGAGUGAUGAAGGCCUUCGGGUCGUAAAGCUCUGUCGCAGGGGAAUAACACAAUGAAGGUACCCUGUAAGAAAGGAUCGGCUAACUUCGUGCCAGCCGCCGCCGUAAAAC